ACUGGUCCAAUCCCAAACACGCUCCACAUUAGGAAAAUUAAGGUGCCUCUAAAAAUGUGGUUCGUCAAAAAGAAAGUGAUAUUCACUAAAGAUAACCUGGCAAAACAUCAUUGGGAGGGCAGCAAAAGGUGUUGUUUUUGUGAUCAUGAAGAGUCAAUUCAACAUCACUUAAACGAUUGCUAA
rnacentral:rRNA from 1 species